AUAGCUAUCAAUAUUUAACACAUUAGUAACUAAGACUAAGAAAUGUUAUACUUUUAUAUUUAAAUAAAUGUAUGUUAACAUAAAUACCAUAUUUGAAUGAAGAGUCAAUGUACUUCCAAACAAUCAUUUAGUGAGAAGAAUUGCAUAUUUUUGCAAAACUCUGUCUGGAUUAACAUAACAGAGCUGUUUGCUCAUAUCUGCUUCUGCAUUCAUGAUAUUAAUAAACGGUUUCGGUGAAAGCGUAUGAAGAAACUGGCCUCAUAUAGACCUUUUCUUUUCUUUUCUUUUUUUUUUUUUUUUUUGAGACAGAGUCUUGCUCUGUCGCCCAGGUGGCGCGAUCUCGGUUCACUGCAAGCUCCGACUCCCAGGUUCACGCCAUUCUCCCACCUCAGCCUCCCGAGUAGCUGGGACUACAGGCGCCCGCCACCUCGCCCGGCUAGUUUUUUUUUGUAUUUUUAGUAGAGACGGGGUUUCACUGUGUUAGCCAGGAUGGUCUCGAUCUCCUGACCUCGUGAUCCGCCCGUCUCGGCCUCCCAAAGUGCUGGGAUUACAGGCUUGAGCCACCGCGCCCGGCCUGCUGCAUAAUUUUCAAGCAAGGAGAGAGAAGUAUGAGCCAUUGAUAUGACAAAGGUUCUCAAGUGCAUUGACCUACAUGUCUCAAUCCCACAUUUCAGUUUUCUGAUUCUAAAUUAGGGCUUUGGAUUGCUGGGGUUGAGAACUGAAUCUUCUCUAGAGAUCAACUACUUUAAAAAUCAAGUCCUGGGCCUGAUCGUCAGCUUUGUCUUCAAAAGACGAGGGUUUUGUUUUUAUUUUGUAUACUACCAAGGGACCUCUGAUUUUCACACUUUGCCUUAAAUUGCUGAUAAUCAUAUCUAGUUUUUUGUUGUCUUUUUUCAAUGCAUAAUUUUAUUCAACAACUGUCAUCUGUUUUCUUAGUCCUUAAAAUUAUUUCUAAUCCUAUACUUCUUAAAUAACUGAAAGCAAUUGCAUUCCAUUUCAGUGGCAUCCCAUCUAGUGAUAAUAUUAACCACUUCACACUACAGCAUGCCAGAAGAAAACCAAGCCAUCAGGGUGUU
rnacentral:lncRNA from 1 species